rnacentral:rRNA from 1 species
CCUACGGGUGGCAGCAGUGAGGAAUAUUGGUCAAUGGGCGCGAGCCUGAACCAGCCAAGUAGCGUGAAGGAUGACUGCCCUACGGGUUGUAAACUUCUUUUAUAAAGGCAUAAAGUGAGGCACGUGUGCCUUUUUGUAUGUACUUUAUGAAUAAGGAUCGGCUAACUCCGUGCCAGCAGCCGCGGUAAUACGGAGGAUCCGAGCGUUAUCCGGAUUUAUUGGGUUUAACGGGAGCGUAGAUGGGUUGUUAAGUCAGUUGUGAAAGUUUGCGGCUCAACCGUAAAAUUGCAUUUGAUACUGGCAGACUUGAGUACAGUUGAGGUAGGUGGAAUUCGUGGUGUAGCGGUGAAAUGCUUAGAUAUCACGAAGAACCCCGAUUGCGAAGGCAGCUUACUAAACUGUGACUGACAUUGAUGCUCGAAAGUGUGGGUAUCAAACAGGAUUAGAUACCCUUGUAGUC